GCAAUUGGUGGAAAUUCGUCGCGGUUAG
rnacentral:sRNA from 1 species